rnacentral:lncRNA from 1 species
UACCCAGCUGCCAACCCGUCGGUCAUUGUUUGCUGCCCCACCUCUGAAAACGAUAGUGGGGUGCCCUGUAACCCCUUAUAUCCUGAACACAGGUCCAAUCUUCCUCAAGUGGAAUUUCACUCAUACUUGAAAGGCCCUUCCCAGGAAGGGUUCGUCUCCACAUUGAAUGGCGACAGCCACAUUUCAGAGCAUCCUGCAGAAAAUCCUUUGAGCCUUGCAGAAAAGAGCAGAUUGCAUGAGGAGUGCAUUCAAUCCCCCGUGGUGGAAACAGUCCCCGUUUAGUUGCUUAAAUUAUUCUAUUAUAGACCAAGUCUUCUAUUUAAGGCACUGUAUUGCCUUUGCUGGCGUUGUUUAACCCGAAGACCAAGAAUAUGUGGACUGUGAUUAAUCUUUCAGACAGUAUUUCCUUCCUUCCUUUCUAGGUUCCCAACUGUGGCGUGGCACAAAAUACAGUCGCUAUGGGGAUUUUAAACGAUUUUGAACUGUUUUGAUAGAAAAUGCUAAAUUAAAAAAAAAAA